UAUACGUAUGUUGUGUACAAAUUGCGAUUUUAUAUAAAUUGCAACUUGUAAUGUAUCAUUCCGGAUUCAUUCGUGACUUGAAUAAUAGUCUCUAAUUCUUAGAUAAGUUGUCGAUCUACAAACUAGGAUAUAAACAAAAAACAUGAGAAGAGAAAUAUGUAGAUGAUCCAUGUUUUUGUGAACUGAGUGGAAAGAUCCUUGAAUAUUGUCAUACUCAUUGUGCGUUAGAAAGAAUUGGAAAUAAAAUAAUCCAUAUCGAUAGAACCUCUGAUAUAUAUCAGGUCCAGCACUUGGACGGAUCUGACAAAGUGAAGUCGUUUUCCCGGAUUUCAAGGACCAAUUAUAUUAUAAUGAAUCAUCCUAGACUUGAUUCUACAAUAAAUCUUCCUCAAUUGAGUGCUACGAGAACUCAUUAACCUGGCGCGUUGUGGACUCUUCUUGGACUUGAGUUUAUAAUAACUUAUCCUGGACUCUACACUACGAUAACUCUCCCUAAAUAAUCUGCUACGAGAACUUAUCGUUGACCUAGUGCAAUGAGGACUCAUUUUAGACUUGAUUUUAUUUAAUGCCUGAAGCAUAAGGAUCAUGUUCAAAAAUACUUUAAUAAAUAUUUGUUGAGAU
rnacentral:lncRNA from 1 species